UCAAGUUCAAGGGUAGCGUUGUUUUCUUUUAGGUUAAACUUCGGCUCCUAGAGGAUGGGAAGAAAGGAGUGUCAGGGAAACCUACUUCCCAUACACACUGUCAGCCCUUCAACUGUUUCCCAUCUUGUUCUCAUCUCAUGCAACUCCUCUGAACUCUGAAGUCAUCACCUGGACUUCAAAGGGAGCCCUGCAUUCAAAUGAGUCCCACAGGACAAAGAGGAUGAGAAACUACGCUACAAUCAACUACAUUCUUAUCUCAUUUUUGCGACUCCCUGCAGUAUUGUUAGGAAAGAUUACCCAAGGGACCCUCCUGGCCUCAUCUUGGAUGUGUGAUUCCCCAGGAAUCAAGAAACCUGACAGCAAAAUUGACUGGGCAUCCCUCCAUUGAAAACCUUCCACCCUCCUCUGAAGGCUGCCAUCCACAAGUUUAGUGUAUUAUGAAAAGUACCUUGUAAGGAAAGAUACUCUCUCCUUCUGGCUUCAGGGAUAGGAAGCCUGUGGAUCCUACUCCAGUUGACUCAUUUCUGUGAAUACACCCCCUCUCUCACCCUCCUACCCAGUCCCAGCCUGGACCUAGUAAAAUAUAAAUGGAAGAAACGUGAAUAGACAGCUUUUCAAGGGCAAGUGUUAAGCCUUUGGUUUUUCCUUUGUAAUCACCCUUUAGAAUCCCUUUGGCUCAUCCUGGAGUCGGGUACUGGGGGUGGGGGGUGGAGAGUUGUAAGAGCCAGGAAUGGAAUGAUGCAAUGAAAAAACUGCUGCUCAAAUCUUGUUCUGACAUUUACUAGCUGUAUAAUAGUGAAC